rnacentral:misc_RNA from 1 species
AACGCACAUUGCGCCCCUCGGUAUUCCGGGGGGCAUGCCUGUUCGAGCGUCAUUGCACUCCCUCAAGCGUAGCUUGGUGUUGGGUCGUCGCCCCUGUGGGAGCGUGCCCGAAAAGCAGUGGCGGUCCGGUGGGGCUUCAAGCGUAGUAAACAAUCGCCUUUUAAGGUGUUUGCUUUGGAAGUCUUCCGCCGCGGCCGGCCAAUUCAACCUCAUAUCUUCCAAGAAUUGACCUCGGAUCAGGUAGGGAUACCCGCUGAACUUAA